GACGGGGGAUGCAAGUGUUAUCCGGAAUUACUGGGCGUAAAGCGUCUGUAGGUGGUUUCUUAAGUCCACUGUUAAACCUUGAGGCUCAACCUCAAAUCUGCAGUGGAAACUAGGGAACUUGAGGAUAGUAGGGGUAGAGGGAAUUUCCAGUGGAGCGGUGAAAUGCGUAGAUAUUGGAAAGAACACCGAUGGCGAAGGCACUCUACUGGGCUAUGACUGACACUCAGAGACGAAAGCUAGGGGAGCAAAUGGG
rnacentral:rRNA from 1 species